UGGAGCAGUCCUCACAGUGGAUGCCCUCCAAGUAAAUGGUGAACCAUUGAGAGGAAUCCCUGAGGACAGUCCCAUCUUCAUCAGAGCUCACCACAGCUGGAUGACCUGUCUUGGCCCAGUGACCCUGGACCUCAGCCAUAUUUCAGCAUCUCAGGAUACAACCAACACCUGGGCUCCAUAUUGGCUCCUAGCAGUCAACACAGCCAAUGUCUCCAGAGGAAACUGCUGACAUCAGUAGCUACUGCUGACUGUGUCCUUGCCAGCUGGAGAAAUAA